rnacentral:rRNA from 1 species
GCGUCCGAUACUGGGGGGCUUGAGUACGGGAGAGGGAAGUGGAAUUCCUGGUGUAGAGGGAAAUUCGUAGAAUCAGGAGGACAUCGGGGCGAAGGCGACUUCCGGACCGAACUGACGCUGAGGCGCGAAAGCGUGGGUAGCAAACAGGAUAGAGACCCUGGUAGUCCACGCUGUAAACGAUGACACUAGGUGUAGCGGUGUUGACUCUGCUGUGCCCAGCAACGCAUUAAGUGUUCCGCUGGGGAUACGUCGCAAGGUAACUCAAAGGAUUGACGGGGGCCCGCACAACGUGGAGCAUGUGGUUUAAUUCGACGCAACGCGAAGAACUUACUGGGCUACAUCCCAAGGAGUCCCUGAAAGAGGGAUGUGCCUUCGGGGAACUUGGUGACAGGUGCUGCAUGCUGUCGUCAGCUCGUGUCGUGAGAUGUUGGGUUAAGUCCCGCAACGAGCGCAACCCUUGUCUUUAGUUGCCAUCAGUUCGGCUGGGCACUCUAGAGAUACUGCCUCGGUCAACGGGGAGGAAGGUGGGGAUGACGUCAAGUCCUCAUGGCCCUUAUGCCCAGGGCUACACACGUGCUACAAUGGGCUGUACAAAGGGUAGCCAACUCGCGAGAGCAAGCCAAUCCCAAAAAACAGUCCUCAGUUCGGAUUGGAGUCUGCAAUUCGACUCCAUGAAGUUGGAAUCGCUAGUAAUCGUGGAUCAGCAUGCCACGGUGAAUUCGUUCCCGGGCAUGUACACACCGCCCGUCACACCACGAGAGUUGACUGUACCAGAAGUUGCUGGACCAACCCGNCAAGGGAGGUAGGCACAUAAGGUAUGGUUGGUGAU